GUCCACGCCUUAAACGAUGAAUACUAGACGUUGGGAUCAAACUCAGUGUCGCAGCUAACGCAUUAAGUAUUCCACCUGGGGAGUACGAUCGCAAGGUUGAAACUCAAAGGAAUUGACGGGGCCCGCACAAGCAGUGGAGCAUGUGGUUCAAUUCGAUGCAACGCGAAGAACCUUACCUGGGCUUGACAUGUAAGCUAAGGCUGAUGAAAGUCAGCGUCCCGCAAGGGGAGCUUACACAGGUGCUGCAUGGCUGUCGU
rnacentral:rRNA from 1 species